UACGUAGGGCGCAAGCGUUGUCCGGAAUUAUUGGGCGUAAAGAGCUCGUAGGCGGCUUGUCACGUCGGGUGUGAAAGCCCGGGGCUUAACCCCGGGUCUGCAUUCGAUACGGGCUGGCUAGAGUGUGGUAGGGGAGAUCGGAAUUCCUGGUGUAGCGGUGAAAUGCGCAGAUAUCAGGAGGAACACCGGUGGCGAAGGCGGAUCUCUGGGCCAUUACUGACGCUGAGGCGCGACAGCGUGGGGAGCAAACAGG
rnacentral:rRNA from 1 species